rnacentral:rRNA from 2 species
AACGUAGGAGACUAGCGUUAUCCGGAUUUACUGGGCGUAAAGCGUGUGCAGGCGGUUCGGCAAGUUGGAUGUGAAAUCUCCCGGCUCAACUGGGAGGGGUCGUUCAAUACUACCGAACUUGAGGGCAUCAGAGGAAGGUGGAAUUCCGGGUGUAGUGGUGAAAUGCGUAGAUAUCCGGAGGAACACCAGUGGCGAAGGCGGCCUUCUGGGAUGCUCCUGACGCUCAGACACGAAAGCUAGGGGAGCGAACGGG